UGCGUAGGCGGAUUGUUAAGUCAGUGGUGAAAGACUACGGCUCAACCGUAGAAGUGCCAUUGAUACUGGCAGUCUUGAGUACAGUAGAGGUAGGCGGAAUUUAUGGUGUAGCGGUGAAAUGCAUAGAUACCAUAAAGAACACCUAUAGCGAAGGCAGCUUACUAUGCUGUAACUGACGCUGAGGCACGAAAGCGUGGGGAGCGAACAGGAUUAGAUACCCUGGUAGUC
rnacentral:rRNA from 1 species